ACGGAGGUUGCAAGCGUUGUUCGGAAUGACUGGGCGUAAAGGGAGCGCAGCCGGCUCGAUUAGUCUGGAGUGAAAGCCCGGGGCUUAACCCCGGCGGGUCUUCGGAUACUGUCGAGCUCGAGUACGGAAGAGGAGAGUGGAAUUCCAGGUGUAGCGGUGAAAUGCGUAGAUAUCAGGAGGAACACCGGUGGCGAAAGCGGCUCUCUGGUCCGAUACUGACGGUCAUGCUCGAAAGCGUGGGGAGCAAACGG
rnacentral:rRNA from 1 species